GUUUUCCCUUUGGCAGCACAUACACUAAAAUUGGAACAGUGCAGAAAUUAGCAUGGCUUCUGUGCAAGGAUGACAUGCACACUCACGCAGCACUCCAUAUUUUA
ensembl:snRNA U6 U6 spliceosomal RNA